rnacentral:misc_RNA from 1 species
GCAAACUUGGUCAUUUAGAGGAAGUAAAAGUCGUAACAAGGUUUCCGUAGGUGAACCUGCGGAAGGAUCAUUAACACUUUUUUUCGAAAGAAAAAAUAUUCACCCAAACGUGCUCUAUUUCUUUUUUCACACCUUUAACACUAAAACAAUUGUAACCAAUGACUGACAUUUGAAAGUUUUGUGCAAACAGAAUCUUCUAAUAAGUUUUUCUUAUUAAAAAUCUAUAACACAACUCUUAACAAUGGAUAUCUUGGCUCUCGCAUCGAUGAAGAACGCAGC